rnacentral:rRNA from 1 species
GGCGAGUGAAGCGGCAACAGCUCAAAUUUGAAAUCUGGCGCUUCCGGCGUCCGAGUUGUAAUUUGUAGAGGAUGCUUCUGGGCAGCCACCGGUCUAAGUUCCUUGGAACAGGACGUCAUAGAGGGUGAGAAUCCCGUAUGCGACCGGAGAGGCGCCCUAUACGUAGCUCCUUCGACGAGUCGAGUUGUUUGGGAAUGCAGCUCUAAAUGGGAGGUAAAUUUCUUCUAAAGCUAAAUAUUGGCCAGAGACCGAUAGCGCACAAGUAGAGUGAUCGAAAGAUGAAAAGCACUUUGGAAAGAGAGUUAAAAAGCACGUGAAAUUGUUGAAAGGGAAGGGAUUGCAACCAGACUUGCUCGCGGUGUUCCGCCGGUCUUCUGACCGGUCUACUCGCCGCGUUGCAGGCCAGCAUCGUCUGGGGCUGCGGGAUAAGACUUUGGGAAUGUAGCUCCCUCGGGAGUGUUAUAGCCCUUUGUGAUGCCGCACGCCCCGGGCGAGGUCCGCGCUUCGGCUAGGAUGCUGGCGUAAUGGUCGUAAUCCGCCCGUCUUGAAACACGGACCAAGGAGUCUAACAUCUAUGCGAGUGUUCGGGUGUCAAACCCCUACGCGUAAUGAAAGUGAACGGAGGUGGGAAGCGCAAGCUGCACCAUCGACCGAUCCUGAUGUCUUCGGAUGGAUUUGAGUAAGAGCAUAGCUGUUGGGACCCGAAAGAUGGUGAACUAUGCCUGAAUAGGGUGAAGCCAGAGGAAACUCUGGUGGAGGCUCGCAGCGGUUCUGACGUGCAAAUCGAUCGUCAAAUUUGGGUAU